UUGUUUUUAUUACAUGGUGGGGACCUCAGCAUGUUAGCACACUCACAAAGUGGGGACCAAAAACAUAGUGGGGACCGUACGCCUGGUCCCCACUAUGUUUUGCCUUUAAAAGACUCAGGGGGCGUUGCUGAUAUGCCUAGUGCUGUUUUUUUCAUUGAUCCCCACCUUGACCAAUCACCUGAUUUGAGUGUGUGAGUGUGUGUCGGCGCACUGCUCUAUAGCGCCCCUGUAGUCGGAUGGCGGUACUGCACCCUCACACACACUUGGCGCAAUAUACACACUCUAGCUGUUGCACAUGCGCAGAUCUCCUGAAUAAAUCCGACUUUAAUUAAAUUAAUUAAGGUUCAUCAAAUUAAUCGAGGUUUGCGGAGGCCGGAGUGAAGUGCGUGAGCCGCGGCCGGACGGUCACCACGCCCCGGGCGGCUAAAUGGAUCGACGGAGGAUAAAAUCAUUAAAAGAUGCGGAGAAACACAUCACCAGCUCCACUGACAAGACCCAUUCACUGGAAACCGAUUAUAUAGAAGGUUACUAAGUUUUGCGGCAUUGAUGCCGCUCGUGGCGGGACCCUCGGCCGGCUGGUGAAUGAUGACUAUCUGCACCCAAACUGCACUGUCAAUAAGAUUGUUGUUCAGAGAAAAACCUCACUUGUGCCUUUUUGCAAUCAGGGACAUUUUCCCUGGAGAGGAAAUAACUUUUGACUAUGGCGCAUGUGAUUGGCCUUGGAGAAAGCUUUCAUUGAAGGAUAACCAUAUGACUGCAGAAGAGAACUGCUCCCACAACUCUCUGAUGAGCUGUUAUUGAAGAAUGACCAAAUGACAGAACUGCUCUGCUCCAGUAGGAGUCCCACAACUCUCUGAUGAGCUUUUAUUGAAGAAUGACCAAAUGACAGAAAGAGAGAACUGCUCUGCUCCAGUAGGAGUCCCACAACUCUCUGAUGAGCUUUUAUUGAAGAAUGACCAUAUGACACAAGAGAGAAGUACUCUGCUCCAGUAGGAGUCCAACAACUCUCUGAUGAGAGAAAGUUACAGUGGAUCGUGUUUUUGGAGGAGGUGAAGUCCAGUCUAAAAGAGUCCCCUCAAGUAUCAUCACCAUGGUACAGUGUCUGUGAAGAUAGUGAAGCAGACCCAGCAUUCACAAAAAAAAGAGAGGUCCCAUAAGGAGAAGACCCUGGAGCAAACAGGAAGUACAUGCUGUGGUGAAAGCUGAACCAUUAGUUCUAAAAACCAGAGAUUGGUCAG